rnacentral:lncRNA from 1 species
GAAACCCCGUACUCGGGUCCACAUUGAGUCGCCCGACCAAUUCAGGUCUCAUAUUGGAUAAGAUUCCCGUAGUAACCUCGAUAUUCACGUAAUUGGAUCCAAUUGGUUCUCGCGUCAGAUUAGCUAAGGCCCAUAGUAAGACCUGGAUUUUCUCGUAAUUAGACUGCAUUGGGUUGCCCGACCAAUGCAGGUCUCAUAUUGGGUAAGAGGAUCCGGAUU